rnacentral:lncRNA from 1 species
UAAAAUCUCUCGAUUAACUUGUACCAAAGGUUUGUGGGCAUAACUUAUAAAACCUCAAUAUUAUAGUGUUAUCUUAAGAAGAUCUCUCAGGGAUAAGAUUAGGCCAAAUUUUCGUCGAACUGAAUAAUUCUUUGGUGUCAUCUCUCUAACCCUUAUCUUUUUUUAAUUAUUUUAAUUAUUUUUUUUCUAAUUUAUUUUUUGUUUUUUCUCUCUGAUCUUGAAGGCACUAAUACAGUUUGCUUUUUAAGUAAUACAAACUCUAUAUUAAUCACAAAUUUUGAUUACCAUGAU